GGGGGCAUGUGCACCUCAUGUUGUAGUGUCUCUGCAAAAACAACAAACCCCGGCGCGGAAUGCGUCAAGGAAUUUACAAAUGUACAGUGCGUCUUAUCGGGGCCGGAAGCGGUGGUCGAUGGGGCAGUGUCGCUUAAUUGAGUCUAGAACGACUCUCGGCAACGGAUAUCUCGGCUCUUGCAUCGAUGAAGAACGUAGCGAAAUGCGAUACUUGGUGUGAAUUGCAGAAUCCCGUGAACCAUCGAGUCUUUGAACGCAAGUUGCGCCCGAGGCCAUUAGGCCAAGGGCACGCCUGCCUGGGUGUCACGAAUCGCCACCCCCAUCUCUGUGCCUAUGGCCCAGAAGAGGGGUGAAUGAUGGCUUCCCGUGAGCGUUGGCUCGUGGUUGGUUUAAAUCACUAUCCGUGUCGGCCAAAGGCUCCGUGACACUUGGUUGUUGAGUUUAUUUCUCGAGGCCAGUCACGUGUUCCCAAGGCGGCCCUGGACAAUGGCAACCCGUUAGCGGCUCAGGCCUGCUCAUGAUGCGACCUCAGGUCAGGCGGU
rnacentral:misc_RNA from 1 species